rnacentral:rRNA from 1 species
GAUGAACGCUGGCGGUAUGCUUAACACAUGCAAGUCGAACGGUCACUUCGGUGAUAGUGGCGGACGGGUGAGUAACGCGUGAGAAUCUGUCUUCAGGUCUGGGACAACAGUUAGAAAUGACUGCUAAUACCGGAUGUGCCUUUGGGUGAAAGAUUUAUUGCCUGAAAAAGAGCUCGCGUCAGAUUAGCUAGUAGGUGGUGUAAGAGACUACCUAGGCUCCGAUCUGUAGCUGGUCUGAGAGGACGAUCAGCCACACUGGAGCUGAGACACGGUCCAGACUCCUACGGAAGGCAGCAGUGGGGAAUUUUCCGCAAUGGGCGAAAGCCUGACGGCGCAAUGCCGCGUGAGGGACGAGGGCUUUUGGGUCGUAAACCUCUUUUCUCAAGGAAGAUGAUGACGGUACUUGAGGAAUAAGCAUCGGCUAACUCUGUG